UUUAGCAUUGGCUUUGCGGGCCAUAAUGCCAUUACCGACUGCAUGCAGAAGGUGAGUUUUACCUAAGCCCGUACCACCAUA
rnacentral:antisense_RNA from 1 species